GGGUGAAGUGGGGCAGCUACGUCCGCUCGCUCCUGCAGGAGGAAUUAAGGGAGAACACAUCCAGUGCGGCGCCAACGCGGACCCGGAGAGUCGGGGAGGACCUCCAGGCGAAACGCUCGAGUGGGCCCAGACCUCCCUUCCCACAGAUUCUGGGUCUAUCGUCACAGACACACAGUGCCCCUGUUGUGGGGACUGCGGCAGAAGCCAUGUGUGUUGGCCUGGAAGAGCGAACUCACACUGCGCUUUGCCCUCUGUGAAGUUUCACUGGCCGAUGUCGCUGUCGUCGCGGCAACAAAGAGCAGUCGGCUGGUUGGACAAGAGCCCAGCUAUGGAGCAUGACUUGACCGAAGCCCCUCCCCCUCUGUCUGGGGAGAGACACUUACUCUAGGUGGAUGGCCAGGAUUCAGACAGGCCUGAGGUCGAACUGCAGUAAACAAACGGACACACCCCCCUGUCGCAGCCCACCAAUCGCCAAGGGAGGCGGAGCCACGCACUGCCCGCUAACCGCUGAGAACUGAGCAGCUUGUCUGAGAGAAUUUACUGGCGCUGUUUGUCCAGCAUGUUACCGUCUUGAGCCAAAUGUGUCUCACAGAGCAAACCCAGAAAAACAGCCUUCGCCCGAAUGCCAGCUCUGUCCCCACGGAGACGGCCAACCGGGGGGAGGGGCCCCAUUCAGCCGAAACACUCUCCACACAAGAGGAUAAGCCGGGGAGACACACCAACGUGCCGAGACGUUCUCAUGCUCAGACAGUCUUUCCAGAACACGCACACACGCAUACGUGCAUGCAGGCACUCGCAGACGCAUGAAUAUACACAGGUACACAGGAGAAACUGCACUCUUGUCCCUUCCUCAGUGAUUGGCUGGUGAGGGGGUUGGGGGUGUGUCAGUAAAAACAGGCCAAUGAGCAGU